rnacentral:rRNA from 1 species
UCUCAAAGAUUAAGCCAUGCAUGUCUAAGCACAAACUUUAACACAGUGAAGCUGCGAAUGGCUCAUUAGGUCACCCAUGAUUUCUUGGAUCGUACAAUCCUACUUGGAUAACUGUGGUAAUUCUAGAGCUAAUACAUGCGAGCAAGCUCCGACCCUUCGGGGAAAGAGCGCGUUUAUUAGAUCAAAACCAAUCGGGCCUUCGGGUUCGUACGUUUGGUGACUCUGGAUAACUUUGAGCGGAUCGCACGGGCUUGACCCGGCGACGUAUCUUUCAAGUGUGUGCCCUAUCAACUUUCGAUGGUACGCGAUAUGCCUACCAUGGUUGUAACGGGUAACGGGGAAUA